rnacentral:rRNA from 1 species
UUGAACGCUGGCGGCAUGCCUUACACAUGCAAGUCGAACGGCAGCACGGGAGCAAUCCUGGUGGCGAGUGGCGAACGGGUGAGUAAUAUAUCGGAACGUGCCCAGUCGUGGGGGAUAACGCAGCGAAAGCUGUGCUAAUACCGCAUACGAUCUACGGAUGAAAGCAGGGGACCGCAAGGCCUUGCGCGGACGGAGCGGCCGAUGGCAGAUUAGGUAGUUGGUGGGAUAAAAGCUUACCAAGCCGACGAUCUGUAGCUGGUCUGAGAGGACGACCAGCCACACUGGGACUGAGACACGGCCCAGACUCCUACGGGAGGCAGCAGUGGGGAAUUUUGGACAAUGGGCGAAAGCCUGAUCCAGCAAUGCCGCGUGCAGGAAGAAGGCCUUCGGGUUGUAAACUGCUUUUGUACGGAGCGAAAAGGCUCUCUCUAAUACAGGGGGCUCAUGACGGUACCGUAAGAAUAAGCACCGGCUAACUACGU